rnacentral:misc_RNA from 1 species
UAAUGUACAGUAAAUAAAUACAGAGUAAACAACUGUGAAAGUAGAUAAAUUGCUGUGAACGAUAAGAACUAAUACGCAGCAAGGUUUUGCAUGACAAAUAUUUCACUCGAUUCGCUUCCGACGUCAUCGGCGCAGAUGCGGACGCAAGAAGUUGAAGAAAAUUAGUAUUUCAAAGUGUUAGAGGAUGCAAAGACACGAACGCGAGACUCGAGCAACUUGAAUCAAUAAAUUAUUACAGCUCUUUAAGACAAGCGGAUGAGAAAAGAAUGUGGAGGACAGGGAACUGCCUUUAAUUAAGAAUGAUAAAAAAGAAAAUAAUUUCUGGAAUAAUUUGGAGUAAAACAGCCCCAGGGCGUAUGAUAUUAACAAUUAGCAAGCGCAGAAAAAGAUUCAGUGAAAAUAAACAGGAGCAAAGCGAAGGAGGAAAACGACACGCGUGGUUACCAUUUUUCUAUCGAAAUACGUAUGUAUGUAUUAUAUAAGUUAGCAACUAAGUUGCCAACCAAUAAAUGAACACGUGCUGAGUGCACGUAAGUGAAACAUGUCAGUGAUAGGCGCAACAUCGCCUCUCUAUGAGACGACGUAAGUAGUGUCGUUAUACGAAAACACAUGCUCGAACACAUGAACUAGGACUCUUCCAGAUAAAAGAAUGAAUACUUCUCUAAAAACGAAAUCUCCAAUAUUCCAUAUCUUUAAUUUAUUUUAUUAAUUUCCAUAGGUCAUUUGAAAUUACUGCAGUCGUAUAAAAAGUCUGGGCUGAGACUGGGUUGAAUGAAUGAUGCGAGCUUAAAUGAAAUGAACGAGGAGAAAAAAUAUAAGAACAAUGGAAAUUUACCACGCCGUCGGAAGAGGACUCCUCGAAACCACGGAAAGCAGGCAUCGCAGCAGGAGGUGUAGUUCUCAUAUCCAAGGGUAACCAUUCACUCCUCGAUGGCGAAUUACCCUGUACAGACGGGGAUCCAUGUUUUCCACCCCUUGUUCCAAGCCGCGGCCUGCCGCGGCGUACCCUUCGACCUGAACAAGUAUUUUCAUAUAGCGUUUCUCAAAUGUUAUGUUCUCUCAAUAUAGAUAUACAUAUAUAUAUAUAUAUAUAAGAUCCAAUAAAAUUUCUUUAUUUCGAA